UGGGGAAUAUUGGACAAUGGGCGAAAGCCUGAUCCAGCCAUGCCGCGUGUGUGAAGAAGGUCUUCGGAUUGUAAAGCACUUUAAGUUGGGAGGAAGGGCAGUAAGCGAAUACCUUGCUGUUUUGACGUUACCGACAGAAUAAGCACCGGCUAACUCUGUGCCAGCAGCCGCGGUAAUACAGAGGGUGCAAGCGUUAAUCGGAAUUACUGGGCGUAAAGCGCGCGUAGGUGGUUCGUUAAGUUGAAUGUGAAAGCCCCGGGCUCAACCUGGGAACGGCAUCCAAAACUGGCGAGCUAGAGUAGGGCAGAGGGUGGUGGAAAUUCCUGUGUAGCGGUGAAAUGCGUAGAUAUAGGAAGGAACACCAGUGGCGAAGGCGACCACCUGGGCUCAUACUGACACUGAGGUGCGAAAGCGUGGGGAGCAAACAGG
rnacentral:rRNA from 1 species